GCAGAUUUUAAUUUGAUGAUGCACAGAAAUGUAAUUAGCAUCAUGCAAAUAUUUUCGUCAGGACCAGAAGCUGCCUCCAACAUUUAGCACAAAGAACCAAACAUGAGAGUCAUCACGUUUAGAAGGCUGAAUAGAGGCAAAUCCCUGCACCAGUGAGAGAUUUUGAAUAAACAGUAAUUAUAUAGCAAAAACCUAAGUAACAGCUGCAGGAGUAUGGAAACAAACAUCCCAGAGGUCAACUCUUUCCUAAUAAAAAUUCAUUGAAGAAGGCAUCAGGAUGACCUCUGAGUCAGUCGUCUUUGUACCAUCUCAACAUGUCCCACUUCUGUAGGCCCUUGGGGAGCAAACCAGAAUCUUCUUUCCAGAUCUAAGAGCCAGCCUGGGAGCUUUGUCCGGCAUGUGCAUGCAUGAAUCUGCUCAUGCAGCAUCCUUGCUUUUGUACAAUUCUGGAGAAAAUGCUUCUUCACCUGAUGAACCAAGAUUCUAACAGGAAGAGUUGGUUAAAGUUGGAGUGAGAUCAAGUAGCAAAACACAUACAUUUGUCAAGUGUGGGGCUAACACUCUUUCUUCUGAGAUUGUGAAUGUGCCUUCACUGGAACUUUAUCUUUGGAAAUCCCACAGAGAGGAU